rnacentral:tRNA from 1 species
GGGGUUGUGGUCUAGUGGUAUGACAUCUUCUUAGCAUUGCUCUUCGGGCAUUACUGAGUUGGAGAAGGUUCUGGGUUCGAUUCCCAGCUACUCCA